UACAGAGGGUGCAAGCGUUAAUCGGAUUUACUGGGCGUAAAGCGCGCGUAGGUGGCCAAUUAAGUCAAAUGUGAAAUCCCCGAGCUUAACUUGGGAAUUGCAUUCGAUACUGGUUGGCUAGAGUAUGGGAGAGGAUGGUAGAAUUCCAGGUGUAGCGGUGAAAUGCGUAGAGAUCUGGAGGAAUACCGAUGGCGAAGGUAGCCAUCUGGCCUAAUACUGACACUGAGGUGCGAAAGCAUGGGGAGCAAACAGG
rnacentral:rRNA from 1 species